rnacentral:rRNA from 1 species
CGAGCGAGCAAGUUUUCGGAUGUUGCUGAGCGGCGGACGGGUGAGUAACGCGUGGGUACCUGCCUCAUACAGGGGGAUAACAGUUAGAAAUGGCUGCUAAUACCGCAUAAGGCUGCAUGGCAAAAACUCCGGUGGUAUGAGAUGGACCCGCGUCUGAUUAGCCAGUUGGUGAGGUAACGGCCCACCAAGGCGACGAUCAGUAGCCGACCUGAGAGGGUGACCGGCCACAUUGGGACUGAGACACGGCCCAAACUCCUACGGGAGGCAGCAGUGGGGAAUAUUGCACAAUGGGGGAAACCCUGAUGCAGCGACGCCGCGUGAGGAAGAAGUAUUUCGGUAUGUAAACUCUAUCAGCAGGGAAGAAAAAGACGGUACCUGACUAAGAAGCCCCGGCUAACUACGUGCCAGCAGCCGCGGUAAUACGUAGGGGGCAAGCGUUAUCCGGAUUUACUGGGUGUAAAGGGAGCGUAGACGGCGAUGCAAGUCUGAAGUGAAAGCCCAGGGCUCAACCUGGGACUGCUUUGGAAACUGCGUUGCUAGAGUGCUGGAGAGGUAAGUGGAAUUCCUAGUGUAGCGGUGAAAUGCGUAGAUAUUAGGAGGAACACCAGUGGCGAAGGCGGCUUACUGGACAGUAACUGACGUUGAGGCUCGAAAGCGUGGGGAGCAAACAGGAUUAGAUACCCUGGUAGUCCACGCGGUAAACGAUGAAUACUAGGUG